rnacentral:tRNA from 1 species
GCCGGGUGGCGGAACUGGCAGACGCACAGGCUUAAAAUCCUGCGAUUGGUAACGAUCGUACCGGUUCGAUUCCGGUCCUCGGCA